rnacentral:rRNA from 1 species
AACGAACGCUGGCGGCAUGCCUAACACAUGCAAGUCGAACGAGACCUUCGGGUCUAGUGGCGCACGGGGGCGUAACGCGUGGGAACCUGCCCUUAGGUUCGGAAUAACUCCCCGAAAGGGGUGCUAAUACCGGAUAAUGUCUUCGGACCAAAGAUUUAUGGCCUUUGGAUGGGCCCGCGUUGGAUUAGCUGGUUGGUAGGGUAAAAGCCUACCAAGGCGACGAUCCAUAGCUGGUCUGAGAGGAUGAUCAGCCACACUGGGACUGAGACACGGCCCAGACUCCUACGGGAGGCAGCAGUGGGGAAUAUUGGAGAAUGGGCGAAAGCCUGAUCCAGCAAUGCCGCGUGAGUGAUGAAGGCCUUAGGGUUGUAAAGCUCUUUUACCCGGGAUGAUAAUGACAGUACCGGGAGAAUAAGCUCCGGCUAACUCCGUG